CUUCAGUGGAUGUUUAACUCUGUUGGGCUCUAUUCCUCUGGACUGGAUAUUCUUUACCAGUCUCAGGUUUCUAUCAUCAGCUCGGUUUCAUUCUCCUGCCUGAUCAGUUACCAGAUCAAGAGACCAAUAUAUCCAAGAAGAGUCUCCUUUAGUCCUGUGCAGCAUCUUCUUAGCCGUCACUUUACACGUUCUCUUCCAUUUUUAGCAGUAAUUCUCUAUUCUAAUAUUCUGUACUAGAAUUCUUGAAAUUGGUUUUCACUACCUCUCGUCUGACAUGAAGCAACUCUGUGUUCUGCUCAUU